rnacentral:rRNA from 1 species
AUUGAACGCUGGCGGCAUGCCUUACACAUGCAGGUCGAACGGCAGCACGGGAGCAAUCCUGGUGGCGAGUGGCGAACGGGUGAGUAAAGUAUCGGAACGUGCCCAGUCGUGGGGGAUAACGUAGCGAAAGUUACGCUAAUACCGCAUACGAUCUAUGGAUGAAAGCGGGGGAUCGCAAGACCUCGCGCGAUUGGAGCGGCCGAUAUCAGAUUAGGUAGUUGGUGGGGUAAAGGCCCACCAAGCCGACGAUCUGUAGCUGGUCUGAGAGGACGAGCAGCCACACUGGGACUGAGACACGGCCCAGACUCCUACGGGAGGCAGCAGUGGGGAAUUUUGGACAAUGGGCGAAAGCCUGAUCCAGCCAUGCCGCGUGCAGGAUGAAGGCCUUCGGGUUGUAAACUGCUUUUGUACGGAACGAAAAGGACUGCCCUAAUACGGUGGUCCCAUGACGGUACCGUAAGAAUAAGCACCGGCUAACUACGUGCCAGCCGCCGCGGUAAAAC